rnacentral:lncRNA from 1 species
CCACAGUACACUAGUAACCGUUGAGCGGGAGCCCAGCCGUCAUGAUGGUUUUGUUAGCCCUGCCGGAGAUCACAGUCCCACACGGACAGCUGCAGCUACAAAGCACCCCAGUGACCUAGAUUCAGCUGUAGAUUACUGUCUGCUUUGGCCUGUGCCUCCCAGAGCUGCACCAGGAGUCUGAUUUUGUUGCACAAGCUAACUUGCUUACUGCUCUGACCCAUUUUACCAUAGCAACCUGGUUUGCUGUACUAGAGGCUAGAAAAAGCACGCAGGCAACUUUUUAAGGAUUCCAAGAUUAAGUUCUCUCUCUGCUCUUUUUUUCUUCUCCCCCCCACCCCCAGCCCUAUGCCCUGAAUGUGCUUAGCAGACAUGAUGAAGAUGAACUGACAGUUUCCAACAGCACUGGAAGCCAGGAAAAGAUUUAGGCAAGAUGAAGAACCACCAAAAGUGUAGUCCAAUAAAUGUGUGUUUUGAAGAAAGAAAGAGUAUAUAACCCAAGAAUUAUUUCAUUGGUCAAUGGCACCAAAGGCUUUGUCACUGUGCAGAAAACUGAGCUGCAGCAUCAGCACCUGGCCUGAUGUAUCCCACUGCAUAAGAGAA